CGGACGGGUGAGUAACGCGUGGAUAACCUGCCUCACACUGGGGGAUAACAGUUAGAAAUGGCUGCUAAUACCGCAUAAGCGCACAGUACCGCAUGGUACGGUGUGAAAAACCCAGGUGGUGUGAGAUGGAUCCGUGUCUGAUUAGCCAGUUGGCGGGGUAACGGCCCACCAAAGCGACGAUCAGUAGCCGACCUGAGAGGGUGACCGGCCACAUUGGGACUGAGACACGGCCCAA
rnacentral:rRNA from 1 species